AUUGAACGCUGGCGGCAGGCCUAACACAUGCAAGUCGAGCGGAUGAAGGGAGCUUGCUCCUGGAUUCAGCGGCGGACGGGUGAGUAAUGCCUAGGAAUCUGCCUGGUAGUGGGGGAUAACGUCCGGAAACGGGCGCUAAUACCGCAUACGUCCUGAGGGAGAAAGUGGGGGAUCUUCUGACCUCACGCUAUCAGAUGAGCCUAGGUCGGAUUAGCUAGUUGGUGGGGUAAAGGCCUACCAAGGCGACGAUCCGUAACUGGUCUGAGAGGAUGAUCAGUCACACUGGAACUGAGACACGGUCCAGACUCCUACGGGAGGCAGCAGUGGGGAAUAAUGGACAAUGGGCGAAAGCCUGAUCCAGCCAUGCCGCGUGUGUGAAGAAGGUCUUCGGAUUGUAAAGCACUUUAAGUUGGGAGGAAGGGCAGUAAGUUAAUACCUUGCUGUUUUGACGUUACCAACAGAAUAAGCACCGGCUAACUUCGUG
rnacentral:rRNA from 1 species